UACGUAGGUGGCAAGCGUUACUCGGAAUCACUAGGCGUAAAGCGCAGGUAGGCGGUUCGGUAAGUCUUUUGUGAAAGCUCCCGGCUCAACUGGGAGAGGUCAAAGGAAACUACCGGGCUAGAGUGUGGUAGGGGAAACUGGAAUUCCUGGUGUAGCGGUGAAAUGCGUAGAUAUCAGGAGGAACACCUAUGGCGAAAGCAGGUUCUGGGCCAUCACUGACGCUGAGCUGCGAAAGCUAGGGGAGCAAACAGG
rnacentral:rRNA from 1 species